AAAAUAUGGAAACAAACUUAGGAUGAUAUGUGGGGCUGGGGGGAAGUGGUAUUUCCUUGUCAUAUUCCUGGUUCUGCUUUAUCCAAGUAUUCUGCUGUAUUUGUUUAUGCUAGUAUCAACAUGAUACCAUUAUUAUGUCCUACUAUUUGGGUGGAGAUUUUUGGCUCUUGGGCUCCGGUGACCUACUAUUUGGACAUUUAUGAGUUUCAAAAGACACUUUCCGCUACUGUUUGUGCUACAUUAUAUUUCUUAUUGCUAUUGUUUACUCCGAUUCAGGCACUAGGAAUGAAUAUUGCAUUCAUUCGAGCAUAAUAGUUCACCAUGUUACCCUUCCCGUCCUACUUUUAUGUUAGAGUUAUCUCAAUAGUAUAUUUCGUUUACUUUUUACCCUUCGUGUUGCUAUUUCGCUUAUUUUAUUCUCUUCUGUGAUAUUAAGGUGUACAGUUGACAGCAACCCACGGUGGCGUUGCACAUAUAUUCUUGAGGCAUCCGAUCCCUUAUUUGUGGAAAUUGGGAAGUCUUUUAUUGAAGAACAAUUCAAAGGUCUGUACUCCUAAAAUGAUAUUGAGUGGCUGAGGUUGAUUUCGAAGAUUAUGUCUCUAGGCCCGGAUAAAAUCAGCAUGUUAUGUGAUUGUCUGGAUAUGUUUGAUUGAAGAUUUUGUAAGUUAGAUUGUCUGGAUAUGUCAUUGUGUCUUCCAACGAUGAGAUCAUGUUGAGAUUUGCCUUUAUAGUGUACUGCUGGAUAUGUUGGUUGCAGACCAUGUUCAAAUUUGCCUUUAUAGUGUACUAUUGCAUAUGUUGGAUUUGCAGGCAACUGCUGCUGCUGGAACAUGUUCAGAUUUGCCUUUAUUUGUGCUGCUGGAACAUGUUGCUUGCAGAACAUGUUGAUACUUGCCAUUGCAGUGUAUUAUUUGUUGCAGAACAUGUUGUAAUAUGCUGGAACAUAUUGCUUGCAUAAUUGUCAUUAGUUAGAAACU